GAUGAACGCUGGCGGCGUGCCUAAUACAUGCAAGUCGAGCGAACGGACGAGAAGCUUGCUUCUCUGAUGUUAGCGGCGGACGGGUGAGUAACACGUGGAUAACCUACCUAUAAGACUGGGAUAACUUCGGGAAACCGGAGCUAAUACCGGAUGAUAUUUUGAACCGCAUGGUUCAAAAGUGAAAGACGGUCUUGCUGUCACUUAUAGAUGGAUCUGCGCUGCAUUAUCUAGUUGGUAAGGUAACGGCUUACCAAGGCAACGAUGCAUAGCCGACCUGAGAGGGUGAUCGGCCACACGGGAACUUAGACACGGUCCAGACUCCUACGGGAGGCAGCAGUAGGGAAUCUUCCGCAAUGGGCGAAAGCCUGACGGAGCAACGCCGCGUGAGUGAUGAAGGUCUUCGGAUCGUAAAACUCUGUUAUUAGGGAAGAACAUAUGUGUAAGUAACUGUGCACAUCUUGACGGUACCUAAUCAGAAAGCCACGGCUAACUACGUG
rnacentral:rRNA from 1 species